rnacentral:rRNA from 1 species
GGGCCCGCACAAGCGGUGGAGCAUGUGGUUUAAUUCGAUGAUACGCGAGGAACCUUACCAGGGCUUAAAUGUAGAGUGACAGGUCUAGAGAUUAGAUUUUUCUUCGGUACACUUUACAAGGUGCUGCAUGGUUGUCGUCAGCUCGUGCCGUGAGGUGUCAGGUUAAGUCCUAUAACGAGCGCAACCCCUGUUGUUAGUUGCCAGCGAGUAAUGUCGGGAACUCUAGCAAGACUGCCAGUGCAAACUGUGAGGAAGGUGGGGAUGACGUCAAAUCAUCACGGCCCUUACGUCCUGGCUACACACGUGCUACAAUGGUAGGUACAGAGAGCAGCCAAUGCGUGAGCAUGAGCGAA